GGAGAAGUGGCAGAGUGGUCGAAUGCACUGGUCUUGAAAACCAGCGAGGGUUAAACCUCCAGGGGUUCGAAUCCCUUCUUCUCCG
rnacentral:tRNA from 1 species